UCAGUUUACCAAAACACAUCGACACCAAAACUUGAGACAACUCCAACACCACCCUAUGCUGCCACCGGUCCGGUUGCUAUCAAUUGGGAAGGAGAAGGCCAAGAAUAUACCCACAAUAUGUUAACCACAAAGGUCACAGUGAGAGGGGGAGGAAGAGGCCGAGAGGGAGAGGCUCACAAAGAGGGGAUUAUUGCACUCUAAUGGAGGCCGAGAGAAUGAGGGGAUUAUAUGCCAAGCAUAUUGUCCAAAAUAGGUAGGUUACAAUUAGGGUUAAGUGUUGGAUCAACAAACUAGGCUCGACUCAAUAAUUGGGCCUCAAUAAUAAUAAAAUAGCCUUCCAAGGAAUGGUGCGGGAACCGUGAGCAACACUAUAAAAUAGGUUACUUCGAACGGUCCAUAACAGAGUGGAUUGUGUUGUUUCGUUAAUUGUGUCGAUGUACUAAUCAAUCAUUAGGCCGAGGCCAAUUGAUAAUAAACAACCGAGGUUACGUCAUCGCCCGGGGAGGUCGUUUGACAACAAAAUUACCUAACAACCUCCACCUUGGUGUCAAAGGACCUGCAAAGAAAAUUGUUUCCCAUUAGUGACACCUCUAAUAGAAAAACAAUAAAAUUGGAAAUCAUUUACCUGUACCAAUGUUUAGAAGUUCCUUGCAACUCUUAAACUUUGCCAGUGGCAGUACCUUCGUCCCCAUAUCAGAUGGGUUAUAGUGGGUAUGAACUUUCUCAAGUCUUACCACCUCUUGAGAUACUAUAUCUCUAAUGAAGUGGAGUCUAACAUCAAUGUGUUUAGUGCGCUCGUGAAAAACAGGAUUUUUGCAUAAAUGUAUGGAUGACUGACUAUCAGAAUACACUACCACAUAAUCAUUCAGAACACAUAGUUCAUGAAGUAGACCUCUAAGCCAUAGAGCUUCUUUAAUAGCUUUAGUGGUGGCAAUAUAUUCUGAUUCUGUAGUGGAUAGAUUGCAAGGGGAUUGUUCCUUAGAUAGAACAAAAUGAUUAGCAAGGGGCAACGUGACAGGUUUGCAUUCACUCAUAUUGAACUUCUUCAAUACUUUGGAUAUAUAUGGAGACUGAUGCAAAAACAAAACAGAAUUUGACCUAUCUCUUUCAAUUUCAAUACCUAAGAUUCUCUUAGCCUUACUUAGGUCUUUCAUGUCAAAUUCACCACUUAAUUUUAUUUUUAUGUUAUUUAUCCACUUAGAGGAUGAUCCAAUCAAAAGCAUGUCGUCCACAUAGAGCAACAAAAACAGAUAAUUAUCGUCAGUCUCAUUGUGUUGAAAGUACAGGCAGUGAUCAAAUUUACUUCUUUGAAACCCUAUAGUGAGUACAAAGGAAUCAAACCUCUUGUACCACUGUCUAGGAGAUUGUUUUAACCCAUACAAGGAUCUCCUCAAAAACCACACAUAAUCAGGUUUUGACUUAUCCUUAAAGCCUUUAGGUUGAUUCAUGAAAAUUUGUUCAUCAAGCUCACCAUGUAAGAAAGCAGUUUUUACGUCAAGUUGUUCAAGUUCCCAGUCAAAUUGUGCAACCAAUGCGAGCAUGACCCUAAUAGUGGUGAACUUAACAACUGGUGAGAAAAUUUCAUUAUAAUCAACGCCCUCCUUCUGUGUGUAGCCUUUAGCCACUAACCUAGCUUUAAACCUUCGGGUUCCGAACUGCUAGUUCCUUCCUUAACCUUAAAAACCCAUUUGCAAUUCAACAAUUGAUUUGUUCUUAGGCUUAGGUACUAGCUCCCAAGUAUGAUUCUUUUCCAGAGAACUCAUCUCUUCUUUCAUUGCCUUAAGCCAUUCAUUUGAUUGAUCACUGCCUAUUGCUUCUUCAAAAGUCUUUGGCUCUUUUUCAGCUAGUUCCUCAUAACUAGACUGGGCAAAAGCUAAUUCAGAUUCAAAACCAAACCUUCUAGGUUCCCUCGACUGUCUCCUCUCUGUAUCUCUAACUAAGUUAUAGUUAGCUAAGGGAUUCUCUUCCUCAUAGUGUUCUUCUGUCACUAUUUCGUUACUAUUUUCCACUUCGGGUUCCUGAGUUUGAGUCUCCACCUCAUUUGAGACAGUAGGGGCAGGUGGACUGAGUUUUCCUAACUCCACCUUAAAUUGGUCUCUCUCUUCACCCGAUUCUACUUCACUCUCGGGUUCAAUUUUCCCUUUAAUACACGGCAUUUCUUUUUCGUUAAACGUGACAUCUCUACUUAUGAUGAUUUUAACUCUGUUUUGGCUUCUAUCCCAUAAUCUAUAACCCUUAACACCUUCGGGAUAUCCUAAGAAAACACACUUCCUAGCUCUAGGUUCCAGCUUACCCUCACUUUGAUGAGAAAAAGCUGUACAGCCAAAAGUUCUAAGUAUCGAGUAAUCACUUAGUUUACCCGACCAUCUCUCAUGUGGAGUAUCACCAUUCAAUGCAGCAGAGGGUGUAAGAUUAAUCAAAUAGCAAGCUGUCAUAACAGCCUCAUCCCAAAAUGACUUGGGAACCCCCAAACUGAUCAUCAUGCAACGUACUUUAUCAAGUAUGGUUCUAUUCAUCCUUUCUGCUACCCCAUUUUGCUGAGGGGUGUAGGGAACAGUCUUAUGUCUAGUUAUGCCGCUUUCUUUACACAUACUAUCAAAUUCUUUAUUGCAGAAUUCUAGGCCAUUAUCAGUCCUUAAAAAUUUGAUUUUCUUGCCAGUCUGGUUCUCCACUUGUCUCUUCCAAUUAUUAAAACUAUUGAAGGUCUCAGAUUUAUCCUUCAAAAGAUAGAUCCACACUUUCCUAGUGUAGUCAUUAAUAAUAGACAGGAAAUACCUAUUACCACCCGAUGUGGGGUUACUGGCAGGGUCCCAAAGGUCAGAGUGCACAUAUUCGAGCAUGCCUUUAGCUCUAUUAAUACUCGUGGAGAAAGAAGUUUUGUGAUGCUUACCAAGUACACAAUGAUCACAAAAUGGCAAAUCUGACACACAGUCAUUACCAAAAGCACCCUUUUCAUUAAGUAGCUUAAGUCCCUUGACUCCUACGUGAGCAAGCCUAUUGUGCCAUGUGUGUGUGUGAUCAAUCUUGACAGAGAAGAUAGAAGAAUUCAUAUCUCUAAUCACUUCCCCAGUAGUAAUGUAUAUAUCGUUUUUCUUAAUUCCAUUAAUGGAAACUAAAGCACCCUUGAUCAUUUUUAGCAUACCAUUUCCAAUUUUACCAGUAACGUCAUCCUUCUCAAGUCUCCCUACUGAAAUCAAAUUCCUAGACAAUUCAGGAAUAUAUCUAACAUCCUUUAACGUAUACACAAAACCCGUGUCAAAUUUUACGUUUAUGUCACCAAUUCCAGUGAUAGUAUAGGCAAAGUUAUCACACAGCACAACAUGCCCAACUUUAGAUUCAUGCAACUUACAAAACCAGUUCUUUUCAGACGUCACAUGAAAAGAUGCACCAGAAUCAAGUAUCCACUCAUGGAUGCGGGAAUUAGCAGUUAGAUUUAAUUCAGCAGUGUAUGCAGCUGGACUUGUAAUCAUAUAGACCUCACCACCAUUUAUAUCAGAAGUAGAUGCUAACACAUUUACCUCAUCUCUCUCCUUAGCUUUUAGCUUACCCUUCUCCUUAUGACAAUCCUUUAUAAAAUGCCCUGUGUUUCCACAACCAUAGCAUUUUCUCGCCUUAGUUCUAGAUUUUGAUCUAGACCUACCUUUGCUCUUCUUUUUUCAUCCAUUACCACUUGACUCGCCACUAGUUUGAUAUCCCUCAUGACUAUUUUACCUAAAUUGAGUUCUACCCCGCAUCAUAUGUACUUCACCAUUCAUUUUAUCAUGUUUUUCAGCCUUAAUUUCCAUUUCUCUACUUCUAAGGGAAUCUAUGACAAUUUCAGGUGUUAACGUGUCUCUGCCAUACUUUAUGGCAUUCUUAACUUCCUUAUAGGAAUCAGGGAUUGCAUUUAGCAAAAUUAUAGCCUUAUAAGUUUCGGACACAGUCUCAUCACAAUUAACUAUGUCUUGCACCAAUUUGUUAAACACGUCUAGAUUGUCAUCAAGAUCCUUUGAAGAAUCCAUUUUGAAAUUGAAAAAAACGUUCAAGCAGGUAAAGCUUAUUAGGUGUAGACUUAAGCAAAUACAAGUCUUCUAAUUUCUUCCAAAGUUCUUUGGUGUUUUUUAAUUUACCCACCUUUCUUAAAACAUCGUCAGACAAGUGUAAGAUAAUUGAGGUAUAAGCAAGCUCAUCGGCUUCUUCUUUUUGUUCUUGUGAAAAAUUAGUUGAAAAAUUGUCUUCAAUGGCUUUUGAAACCUUUUGUUGGACUAAAAUACCCUUCAUUUUUUUGUUGCCAAAUAGCAAAGUCACCCUUUCCGUUAAAAAUUCCCAAAUCAAAACUAUGAGUUGUCAUCUUCACACAAUAGCCAAAAAAUGCACAAACCACAAUCAAACCACACAAAGUAGUCCUAGGGGUCACAGACAAUAUACUCCGUUCUAGAUUCUCAGGGUUUCAUAAGACUCGCGGUCUUAGACCAAAGGAAUGUUCGAAAGGGUAAAGUCACGGUAUUUCUAACGGAAUAAGUAAGCAGCGAAAAUAACAAUGCAGCAAAAAAUACGUCUAGCAGAUAACUAGUCCCACAGUAAUUUUGAUCACUAAGAAUUACAAAACUAAUUUUAAACCCAAAAAACAAAUACUCAAUCAAAAGGAUCAAUUAAGAGCACAUAACCCUAAUUCUAGCACAAGCAAUGGUUGCCAAGCAAUGACAACCCCCAACCUAUUGUCACCCCACACGGUGACGCGCUAAUGCUGAAAAAUUAACGGGUUAAGCCAAUUUACCAGAGCGGACGUGUCUGAGUCCGUAUUAUUGAGAGAGAUGCGAAUCUACUGCUUUAGGACCGCAAUCUUGGCCUAAAGUAAUUCAGUAUGUAUAAGCAGAUUCAACCGUCGAUCCAUCGGGGGCAAAAUUGUCCAACUUUUUCUGUAUAACCUGAAACAGAAAAUAAACAGUGUCAGUGCGUUCAGGGGAUUAAAAUAAGCAAACUGCCCGAAGGAAGCUCGCCCGGAACCGCCGCCACGCGCCACAGCCUGCUGAUCCCAAAUAUGGGUUCGGUUUCGCCGGAAAGUGGCUGGAUUGGCCGGAAAUCAAGGUUGCAGCCGCGGUUCUUCAACCCCAAAUCACGAUUGCCGUCGGUUUUUAUCAAUUUUCAGGCCGGGAAAGCUUCUACUAGCUCUGAUACCACCUGUAGGACCGAAUUCGAUAGCCAACUAGUGCAAAACCGGGCUUAGUUUACCAAAACACAUCGACACCAAAACUUGAGACAAUUCCAACACCACCCUAUGCCGCCACCGGUCCAGUUGCUAUCAAUUGGGAAGGAGAAGGCCAAGAAUAUACCCACAAUAUGUUAACCACAAAGGUCACAGUGAGAGGGGGAGGAAGAGGCCGAGAGGGAGAGGCUCACAAAGAGGGGAUUAUUGCACUCUAAUGGAGGCCGAGAGAAUGAGGGGAUUAUAUGCCAAGCAUAUUGUCCAAAAUAGGUAAGUUACAAUUAGGGUUAAGUGUUGGAUCAACAAACUAGGCUCGACUCAAUAAUUGGGCCUCAAUAAUAAUAAAAUAGCCUUCCAAGGAAUGGUGCGGGAACCGUGAGCAACACUAUAAAAUAGGUUACUUCGAACGGUCCAUAACAAAGUGGAUUGUGUUGUCUCUUUAAUUGUGUCGAUGUACUAAUCAAUCAUUAGGCCGAGG
rnacentral:lncRNA from 1 species